GAAUUCACUAGUGAUUCAGGCCUAACACAUGCAAGUCGAACGGCAGCACGGACUUCGGUCUGGUGGCGAGUGGCGAACGGGUGAGUAAUAUAUCGGAACGUGCCCAGUCGUGGGGGAUAACGUAGCGAAAGCUACGCUAAUACCGCAUACGAUCUAAGGAUGAAAGCGGGGGAUCGCAAGACCUCGCGCGAUUGGAGCGGCCGAUGGCAGAUUAGGUAGUUGGUGGGGUAAAGGCUCACCAAGCCGACGAUCUGUAGCUGGUCUGAGAGGACGACCAGCCACACUGGGACUGAGACACGGCCCAGACUCCUACGGGAGGCAGCAGUGGGGAAUUUUGGACAAUGGGCGCAAGCCUGAUCCAGCCAUGCCGCGUGCAGGAUGAAGGCCCUCGGGUUGUAAACUGCAUGGUACGGAACGAAAAGGCUCUGGUUAAUACCCGGGCUC
rnacentral:rRNA from 1 species